UUUUUUUUUUUUUUUUUGAAUCGAGGGCGUUUUGUGUGCCGAGAACAGAGCAAUAUCUUCCAGGCAAAGCGCUUCACGUGGCUGGCAGUUCCCAGGUGCCACGGAAAUUAGGAAAAGAAACAGCAAGCAGCUCAGAACGGUUUCUGCCCUUGAGCUGCUCCUGCUCUAGCUGGAGGGAAAUAUGUAGGUGGUGCUUCCCAGCCCAACAGGAAACAGUUCAGAGAGCUCUUAGACUGCAGUGAACCGGCGGCGAGUUGGUACAUUCCUAUAGUGAAACAGGGCAGCAAUUAAGAGUGAAUGGACGAUCUUGAAGGCAGUGUUGGAUGAAAAAGCAAAUCACAAGAGAAUGUGAUAUUAAUGCAAUGUUAAUGUCUAUUAACAUAACACUGUAACAGACUACAAAAACACAGAAGUUGCAUGAUAGGAGGCAUAAAAUCGUGUCAGGGAAUGGGUGUGGAAACUGGAGGAAGGAGAGGACAUGUUUUAGUCAUAAAGAUUCGAGCUCUGAGUAAUGCUUAUUCCUUUUAAAGAGCUAGAAUAUGAGGAAACAUACUCAUGGGAAGGCUUUAUGGAAAAGCUGGCGCUGAUGCUAAAUUUAAAAUCUUGAAUAUGAUAAGCAGAAGGAAUCAGAAUACUCAGAAGACAAUUUUCCUGAAUGGGGGAAAGAAAAGUGUAGCCCAUGAGAAGCUUUUAUAGUCUUGAAUUAAAAUUUCAAUCUACAUACAGUGAAAGCCGCUCUUUAAGGGUGCUGAAUUCUGUAAGCUUUAUGGAUUCACAGUCCUGGAAGCAGGAAACAACAGCUCCCCAAUUCCUUUACUGUCUUUAUGGUUGCUUCUUCUCUUACCCUUGAGACUGAGAGACCUUUGACCUUGACUCCAUCACCACACUUCACCUUUUCCCCCCGAAUGUCAUAGAAAUGGAGUCCUGUAGCAUUGCUUUUUUUCAUCAGGUGCCUUUCCUAUAGCAUUACCCACUGAGAUAUCUCACCAAUUUCAGCACCCCAGAGGAUACAUACUUUCUUAAUUUUAGGGAUUGUCUCCCCCCUCCCCAUGUGUAAUGUAGAUUUCUUGUAAAUAAUUACAAUGCUAUAUGUGAUAAAUGUGUUCAGAUAUUUCUGCCCAGAUGCUCCGUUGAUAAACUGGUAUUAAAUACAGUAUAAUGGUGAAACGUAUAAGAAAUCACACAGGUUCCCGGGCUUUUGCACGGAGUUGAGCAGAAAGAUUAACCAGUAAUAAUGGUUGGAGAUCAGAAUCGUUCCCUUGUCUGGGACUAUGCCUUAUUGCCAAAUGUUUCCCAAACCUUUAUUGAAGAUUGACCUUUGUCCUCACAGGUUCAGAUUGAGCUCUAGUUACUGAUGGCUCCCACUGGUUCCAUGUAUGGCAAAUGCAUCACCAACAAAAGCAUCCUGAACACUUGGAAGGAUUCACAGUAAUGACGUAAUGACGCCUAUACCUGGUCUACCUUUAGGCUUUUGCUUCCUUUGGCAUAUUUCUCCAUGGUUCCCUGAGAAGCUGACAGCUGGGCAGUAUAGACCGAGUGCUGAAUUUGUCCACAGUUAUUUAAAUGUCUGCUUCAGAGUUCUAGAGUCAGAUAGGGAUGGAUUCCUGCCUGCUAAGAACUUCGUGUGGAUUUAUUUUAAAGAGCUCUCAUCUUCUCAUGGCUGCUUGUAAGCUCGUUUGUCUUGGCAACAAUCCAUCAGGAGGAAUACUGAUGAGAUGCCCUCUCCUUCCCGGUGGGCUUCAGAGUGCGCUGGAGGACAAACCUAGCUGUGAAAUGUGGCUAACACCAAGAUUAAGGGCCUGCUGUGAUGUAAUACAGUUGAUCAGUCAAACAGGCCUCAGUUUUAUUUUAGGUUUGUAUCUGUUUGCUAUCCAUGGGCCUUGGAGUGUCAUCCCCAGUCUGGGCUGUUAAUAGCAUCUGUGUCUUCUAACUGUUCAAGUACGGACAUACUUAGAAAAGAAACACUGGGAGUUGACUUUGUGUAAAUUCUUAAGUAAAGGUUAUGAAGUCUAUAAAUCAAGAGAUGUAAAUGUCGCAUUUUGGCUUUAAGGCUCUAGGCCACCUUGGGAAAAAAAAAAGUCCACCUGUAGCAUAAAGUCAUCCUUUACCAAAGAGCAGAAGAGUACACACACCACUGUUUUUGAUUUUAAGAUUCCUCCACUAAAAAGCACUUUUUUUUCCUGCUGCCACAAAUUCCACUCAUUAAUCAUGCCAAAUGUAUUGGCCACAGCAUCUACUAUCUUCCAGGCUAAGCUAACUGUAAUGAUUCCAAACUAGCGUUUUCUAGUGUUAGUGAUGGUUUUGAGGAAGGGCUGAUUGCCCCACACAGGUUCAUAUACGGCCCUCCAUUCAAAUAGGUAAUUUAGAAUGACCCCCAUUUUGUCCCUAAUGCUGCAAUUGUCUUCAUAAGCACAUCCAAGCUAAGUCACCCACCCAGAGACUGAGUGAUAGCAGUUCUCCCUUUCAGAGCUCUGCUUCUGCUAUAAAUGAGCUAAUAAGUCUUAGUACCAACACUUGAUCCCUA
rnacentral:lncRNA from 1 species